GCAUUAAUGGGGUAGUGGUAACCUGGGUCGUUGCCAAGCGAGCAACGUUCGACCCGCCGGGGGUUCGAUUCCCCCUUAAUGCA
rfam:Schizophyllum commune H4-8 unplaced genomic scaffold SCHCOscaffold_8, whole genome shotgun sequence.